ACUUUCAUAUGUAAUUCUUGCAAAAGUCUGAUAUUUUUAAAUAUAUCCCUCCGUUAGAAUUUGUUAGAAAAUUUUAGUUAACCAUAGAUUAAAUACUUAAUUUUGAUUAAUUUUUUGAUAUUUUCAAAUAUAUCUCUCUGAUUUGUUACCGUUAAAGAACCGUUAGAAAACUGUUUAUAUUUUCAAUUUUGCCAUCACAAAUAUAUCCCUCAAAAAAUAAUAACAGUAUAAUAUAAAGAGAUAAAAAUAUCAAAAAAUUAAUCAAAAUUAAGUAUUUAAUCUAUGGUUAACUAAAAUUUUCUAACAAAUUCUAACGGAGGGAUAUAUUUAAAAAUAUCAGACUUUUGCAAGAAUUACAUAUGAAAGUUAAACUUUAGAGCGAUAUAUUUGUCAUUUACUGUAUUUUGCAAAGACCUGUGUGAAAUUAACCCCAAAAUAAAAGUAAUACAACGAGAUCGUCAAAUAACGCAUAUAUAUUUCACAGUAGAUAAAAAAAAAAAUAUUAUUUAUUGUGCAGAAUUUUUCUGUACAGAGAUAUGUUGAGAAACAACUGCUUUAUCGAAGUUUACCUUUUAUUGUGGCACUAAUUGCGCAAAUGGUCCUCAAUCAUUACUCACUUUUCCAUGUGGACCUCAAAUUUUUUUCCAAUCAAGUCCCUGACCUUUGAUAUUAUCAAAUGUAGUAUUUUUUUAUUUUUUUUUUUGAGAGAUAGGUAGCACGCUACCUGCUUCGUUUAUUUUAUUUAGAAAUAAACUUAGCUGGAAAUGUGUAUCAACUAGGAUUCGGACUUGAGUCUUGGGAACCAACCACCAAGCCCUUUGCCACUUGCUCUAGGGACAGUCGGUAAAUCUAGUAAAAUUUGACACGUAGUAAGACUCAGCAUUGUUGUGGCAUUGACAUGAAAAUUAUUGCUAGGAACUUAAUUAUAAGAAAGGGAAAACUUCAAAUACCCUUAUGUAAUUUCAUACUUUCUCACUUUAGUAUUCUGUGGUUUAAAAUGUAUCAAGUUAGUAUCCCGUGGUUUCGCACUUUCUCACUUUAGUACCAUGUGGUUUAACGUGUAUCAAGUUAGUAUCAUGUGGUUUCGCACUUUCUCACUUUAGUAUCUUGUGGUUUAAUAUUUCGUUAAAUUAUAUAUACAAAAAACUUCAGAUACACUAUCUAGGUUUAUUGAAUAUUCAUUUUAGGACCCUUUAGUUUUAAUUUUGUCACUAAUUUAACGAAAAAAAUAUCCCGAAACGGAUAAUAAAAAGAGAAAAAUAAAACCACAGGAUACUAACUUGAUACAAACAUAAAAUCACAGAGUACUAACUUGAUACACUUUAAACCACAUGGUACUAAAGUGCGAAAUGCGAAACCACAGAGUACUAACUUGAUACACUUUAAACUAAAGGGUACUAAAGUGAAAAAGUGCGAAACCAUAGGAGGGUUUUUGAAGUUUUCCCUAUAAAAAAAUAAAGGUUGGGG
rnacentral:lncRNA from 1 species